rnacentral:rRNA from 1 species
GUUGGAAUUGCUAGUAAUCGCGAAUCAGAAUGUCGCGGUGAAUACGUUCCCGGGCCUUGUACACACCGCCCGUCACACCAUGAGAGUCGAUAACACCCGAAGCCUGUGAACUAACCGCAAGGGGGCAGCAGUCGAAGGUGGGGUUGAUGAUUGGGGUGAAGUCGUAACAAGGUAUC